GGGCAGAAGGGGGAGCACGAGAGCCGCCCGGGGAGAUCCGUACCCGGAUGAGGAGCGGCCGGUUUACUCCAGGAGGUUCGUCCCGAAAUGAGCUCCAAAGCAAGGGUCCCAGAAACGUCUGAAGGAGCGUUUUAAGGUUGGACUGUUGUGCAUUGGACAUCAAACCCUCAGGGUCUUGCUAAGUUGCCAAGAGAAACUUAAAGUUGCAGUCUUUCUACCUCAGCUUCUCCAAGUGCUGGAAUCACAGGCCUGCACGGCGCCCCUCAGCUAGGGAGAGACAGAUUCUUUGCAGUCUGCUUCCCAGCAAAGGAUUUCAUUCAAGACACCAAGUCGCUUCUUGUUUCUGUAUCUUCUUAAAGUGCUUGUGACAGUGCCAGUUUUCUUUGGUUCACAUUUCUUCUGAGACAUUGAAUCUCUGGAAGAGUACUAAUCAGAGGCAAAGUGCUUAAGCAGAAGGUCCAAAGAAGUGCUGAGCCUUUCAAAUAAAUCCACGUACCUCUCCUGAAACAGAAGAUUCCUUGUUUAAAAUGCAGAUGCUCACUGGGGGAGUAGAAGAAGCUACAUCUAACUUGGCCUCCAAGGCAUAGUGGACCCCUGAGUGUUCCCUAGGAGCUACAGAAGCAAACAUGGUUUGAAGAAGCUUCUCCUUCAACUGUUACUGCGCCACUGAUUCUACUGCAGCUUGACCCCUCCAGGCUAACAGUUGCAAUCAAAGAAGGGAAAAAGCAUGCUCUUUGCAAUGGGGGCGGCAGCCUUCGAAAGAAAGGAGCUCUACCUCUCUUUCAGUUCUCAAACAGGAGUCAUAGGAAAGUGUGCUUCCCUUUGGGGUAGGGGGGUGGGCUUCUUGGGAACAGGGGGUUCUGUAUUUUGAACUAAAUCCAGGCUACCAGAGGCAAGAAAAGAGAGUAAGGGAAUGGAGGGAACGGAGGACAGGAAAUGUGCCUGUAAUUUUAGCAGGCAUAUGAAAAUCCUGAAGUUUUCCCCAUUCAUUGUAAACUCUUACACUUUAAUUCCAGAGUGUUAUCGUUUUUGGAUUCUGUCUAGUUUUUAAAAUCCUCUCAAAAAAUUGCCACAACUGUGAUGUCAGGAGUCCUCACUACAAUCCAGAGAGAUGAAACUGUUUUCAUUACUUUUCUUUGAAAAUACGAUACGCAUAGUGAGGAAGUGACAAAGCUCGAUUUCUUGCCUCCCAGGUAGGCCUGUGUGAUCUUUCACUAGGUCAGGGGCUAGAAAAUUAAUGCUCUAAGCCAAAUCUGGCCCACAGCUUAUAUUUGUAAGUAAAGUUUUAUUUGAACACAUCCACAUCCAGUUCAUGCUCCUUCAGCACUCCAAAAGGAGAGCUGAGCAAUCCCAGAAGGGACCAUUUCAUGGUCCACAGAGCUAAAACAGUGACUAAAGGGCCCCUAAAAAAAGUUUUUCGAUCCUUACUCUACACCCGCUUACUCCCCUGUGGAUCAUUAGCCCCUCCUCUGGCCUUUUGAUCCAGAGGUCCACCUCUGGUUCUGACCCAAGUGUGGCUGGAGGCACAGUAACUGGCUCUGCUACAUCAACUUUUUGUUUUCAGUUUCUGCUACAUCAGCUUCAGAAACUGUCAUGACCCCCAUAUGUCCUCUAUGGAGUGUCUCAUUUCUAAACUUGUCUUUCCGUUUCUUGAGCCUCAGUUUAGGAGUUGAGCCAGGCACUCACUGCAAUUAAGUGACAGUUUGUUCUAUUCGCAUUUCAUUUCUCCAGUAAAGAAUUAUGGCUCUUAAAAUAUACUUAAUGUUUAGCCAUAUUUAUAAUUUAUGAUUUCACAUAUCUGAAUCCCUAUUCCUGUCUCCCUCCCUCCCUCUCACCCUCCCAUCUCUCUGUCCCUCUUUCUAGACCAAGGUCUAGCACACCACUCCACCCCAAACUGUCUACCCCAUCACAGCUGCUAGUCUUCCUCACAAUUUUAUUGUGUCUCUCACAGAUUCACAUGAUUUAUCUUCAGGGAUCUCGGUACUCUUCCUCAUUGAGAGACCAGAGAAAAGGAGGCCACUGAGGGAACUGGAAAACAGGGUGAAAAAGAGAGGAGUAGAAACAGGAGGAAAGGAAACUGAAGUUACCAGAAGAAAUGACUGCCGUGGAGAUUAGAUGAAGAAACUGAGGCUAAGAAAUAACUUAUGAUUGACCACAGCUGCAAGCUCUGCAAGG